UUGAGUAGGUGUGCCUUGAUCU
rnacentral:siRNA from 1 species